AUAAUUAAAGCGUUACAGUAAUGCCGAUCUCAAGAGUUCUUGGGUUUAUCGAAAUGGCUGCAUUUUCAUGAGGAGGACAGGUGGAGGAACGUGCUUGGCGUUGAAAGAAUGGCGCGCGCUGCGGCGGGGCUUUUGGUAGCGGCGUGGUAAAUGUUCGCACUUGACUGCGGAAAGUUGCACUGGUGGAGCUUCUGCAGAUUGGCGUCGCUCAGGUUGUUUAUUUAUUGAUUGCGUUGUCUUGAUUCCCCCUUUGCUGGCUAUGGAUCUUAUCUUUUAGGUGCAAAUGGAUUCAAAACUCAGGAAGAAAGAUGAUAAAUGGAACCAGAUAAAACUGAGAUAGAUAUCCAUUCAUGCAUAUCCAUCUCUGAAAAGGAGGCUUGUUUGAAUUUUAAAUCAUUCAAAGCACUAGGACAAAGGCAACAAUCACCUCCAUUUUUGGCUGCCUGGUGGCCAUGAUGACGAUGUUCGGGCUUUUGCCAAAAUAAGCUUUCGACAGCGCCCAUAUCAUUUGGCAUCAUAGCAGUGGUUCAUUAUCAGCAUUAUUGCAGAUGAAAGUGCUCUGGUUCUUAUCACAAUAGCAGCCAGGAAUGUUCAUCUGAUCCAUAUGGUUCUUACCAUUUUGUCUAUUGAAGUUGUAGAGAAAGUUUUCAAGUCUUGUUAAAAGUCCACAUCCGUGAAGAAGAAGAAGAAGAAGAUCUGAGUUUGUAAAUCUUCUCCAUAAAUUUCAGCUCUAGUUGUUGAAGAUGCAAUCCAAGUUGAAUUAAUGAAGCAGCAAAAAGAGACACCAUUAUUUGAAAAGGGCAAAAUCAUAUAGUAUUAAAUUUCUACAAAUGCCACCAGAAAGUUGUUCUGUAAUUUGACUUUCCAUAACUUGUUCUUUUCUUCUUGCUUCUACCUUAAA